GACGAACGCUGGCGGCGUGCUUAACACAUGCAAGUCGAACGGAAAGGCCCUGCUUUUGUGGGGUGCUCGAGUGGCGAACGGGUGAGCAACACGUGAGUAACCUGCCCUUGACUUUGGGAUAACUUCAGGAAACUGGGGCUAAUACCGGAUAGGAGCUCCUGCUGCAUGGUGGGGGUUGGAAAGUUUCGGCGGUUGGGGAUGGACUCGCGGCUUAUCAGCUUGUUGGUGGGGUAGUGGCUUACCAAGGCUUUGACGGGUAGCCGGCCUGAGAGGGUGACCGGCCACAUUGGGACUGAGAUACGGCCCAGACUCCUACGGGAGGCAGCAGUGGGGGAUAUUGCACAAUGGGCGGAAGCCUGAUGCAGCAACGCCGCGUGCGGGAUGACGGCCUUCGGGUUGUAAACCGCUUUCGCCUGUGACGAAGCGUGAGUGACGGUAAUGGGUAAAGAAGCACCGGCUAACUACGUG
rnacentral:rRNA from 1 species